rnacentral:rRNA from 1 species
AGAGUUUGAUCAUGGCUCAGGAUGAACGCUGGCGGUAUGCUUAACACAUGCAAGUCGAACGAAAUCUUCGGAUUUAGUGGCGGACGGGUGAGUAACGCGUGAGAAUCUACUCUUAGAUUGGGGACAACAGUUGGAAACGACUGCUAAUACCGAAUGUGCCGAAAGGUAAAAGAUUUAUCGUCUGAGAAUGAGCUCGCGUUGGAUUAGCUAGUUGGAGUGGUAAUGGCACACCAAGGCGACGAUCCAUAACUGGUCUGAGAGGAUGACCAGUCACACUGGGACUGAGACACGGCCCAGACUCCUACGGGAGGCAGCAGUGGGGAAUUUUCCGCAAUGGGCGAAAGCCUGACGGAGCAAUACCGCGUGAGGGAGGAAGGCUCUUGGGUCGUAAACCUCUUUUAUUAGGGAAGAAGAUCUGACGGUACCUAAGAAUUCAGCAUUCGAUCCCCCG